rnacentral:rRNA from 1 species
ACUCAAAUGAAUAGACGGGGGCCCGCACAAGCAGUGGAUCAUGUGGUUUAAUUCGAAGCAACGCGAAGAACCUUACCUGGGUUUGACAUCCUUUGAUAACCGUAGAGAUACGGCAUUCGUAGCAAUACGACAGAGAGACAGGUGCUGCAUGGCUGUCGUCAGCUCGUGUGGUGACAUGUUGGGUUAAGUCCCGCAACGAGCGCAACCCUCGUCUUUAGUUGCCAGCAUUUAGUUGGGCACUCUAGAGAGACUGCCGUGGUUAACACGGAGGAAGGUGGGGAUGACGUCAAGUCCUCAUGGCCCUUACACCCAGGGCGACACACGUGAUACAAUGGAUAGUACAAAGGGAAGCAAAGGGGCGACCUGGAGCCAACCUCAAAAAGCUAUUCUCAGUUCGGAUUGAAGUCUGCAAUUCGACUUCAUGAAGGUGGAAUUGCUAGUAAUCGCGGAUCAGCACGCCGCGGUGAAUACGUUCCCGGGCCUUGCACACACCGCCCGU